rnacentral:rRNA from 1 species
GUGCCAGCCGCCGCGGUAAUACGUAGGGGGCGAGCGUUGUCCGGAAUUAUUGGGCGUAAAGGGUUCGUAGGCGGUCUUUUAAGUCAGAUGUGAAAGACAUAGGCUUAACCUAUGUAAGCAUUUGAAACUGAAGGACUUGAGUUAAGGAGAGGAAAGUGGAAUUCCUAGUGUAGCGGUGAAAUGCGUAGAUAUUAGGAGGAAUACCAGUGGCGAAGGCGACUUUCUGGACUUAUACUGACGCUGAGGAACGAAAGCGUGGGGAGCAAACAGGAUUAGAUACCCUGGUAGUCCACGCCGUAAACGAUGAGUGCUAGGUGUUGGUGGGAGACCAUCGGUGCCGCAGCUAACGCAUUAAGCACUCCGCCUGGGGAGUACGUACGCAAGUAUGAAACUCAAAUAAAUUGACGG